AUUGAACGCUGGCGGCAGGCCUAACACAUGCAAGUCGAGCGGAGCGGCGGACGGGUGAGUAAUGUCUAGGAACCAGCCUGGUAGUGGGGGCUAACGUCCCGAAACGGGCACUAAUACCGCAUAAUAUCAGAUGAGUAUAGGUCGGAUUAGCUAGUUGGUGGGGUAAAGGCCUACCACGGCGACGAUCCGUAACUGGUCUGGGAGGAUGUUCAGUCACACUGGAACUGAGACACGGUCCAGACUCCUACGGGAGGCAGCAGUGGGGAAUAUUGGACAAUGGGCGAAAGCCUGAUCCAGCCAUGCCGCGUGUGUGAAGAAGGUCUUCGGAUUGUAAAGCACUUUAAGUUGGGAGGCGUUACCAACAGAAUAAGCACCGGCUAACUUCGUGCCAGCCGCCGCGGUAAUAC
rnacentral:rRNA from 1 species